UUUAGUCUUUAACAGUGGCAGGGUAUGUUUAUUAAAGGAAACUUGCACAUUGUUUUUAGUCAGUAAUUAUUGAUUAUUUAGUCUUUAACACAUUAAAGUGUGUCUUGGAAUUAAUAUCUGUGUAUUGUAUUCGAAAUAGUACAAAACAAAUGCACAGUCUGGCACCAGAGAAACAACGGACACGAAAAUAUAUAGUGAGAUAGAGAUGGUUGAUCAACAGCAAGUUGAGUCGUAGAGCGUUUUUUGGUCGAACAAAUAUAAAUCUUACAAUGUUUGUUUAGAAUUACAAAGCUAAAUUUUACAAUAAAAGCCAUUCUUUUCUUUUUUAACAAAUGUAUAUAAACUAAAAUCUAGAUGCUAAAUUCCAAAGUUAAAUUUUAACUGAACAGCUAAUUUUGUUUAAACUAUGAAUGUAAUGAUUGCUUGUCUAUAUAUAUAUAUAUAU